GACGAGGAGCUUGCUUCUCUGACGUUAGCGGUGGACGGGUGAGUAACACGUGGAUAACCUACCUAUAAGACUGGGAUAACUUCGGGAAACCGGAGCUAAUACCGGAUAAUAUAUUGAACCGCAUGGUUCAAUAGUGAAAGACGGUUUUGCUGUCACUUAUAGAUGGAUCCGCGCCGCAAUAGCUAGUUGGUAAGGUAACGGCUUACCAAGGCAACGAUGCGUAGCCGACCUGAGAGGGUGAUCGGCCACACUGGAACUGAGACACGGUCCAGACUCCUACGGGAGGCAGCAGUAGGGAAUCUUCCGCAAUGGGCGAAAGCCUGACGGAGCAACGCCGCGUGAGUGAUGAAGGUCUUCGGAUCGUAAAACUCUGUUAUUAGGGAAGAACAAAUGUGUAAGUAACUAUGCACGUCUUGACGGUACCUAAUCAGAAAGCCACGGCUAACUACGUGCCAGCAGCCGCGGUAAUACGUAGGUGGCAAGCGUUAUCCGGAAUUAUUGGGCGUAAAGCGCGCGUAGGCGGUUUUUUAAGUCUGAUGUGAAAGCCCACGGCUCAACCGUGGAGGGUCAUUGGAAACUGGAAAACUUGAGUGCAGAAGAGGAAAGUGGAAUUCCAUGUGUAGCGGUGAAAUGCGCAGAGAUAUGGAGGAACACCAGUGGCGAAGGCGACUUUCUGGUCUGUAACUGACGCUGAUGUGCGAAAGCGUG
rnacentral:rRNA from 1 species